rnacentral:rRNA from 1 species
UCUGAACGCCNUUAAGUCAGAAUCCGUGCUAGAAACGAUGAUGUUGGUGUCGCACAUUAGACUUGUGUUUAAAUAGAGCUUUGCUCGUGAACCAAAUAUGGUGGGCUGGGUUGUCUUUGUGGAAACGCUUAGGCGACUUGUCUACGAAUUGUAAUCAUAAUAUGGGCGGCGGUGAAUCCUUUGCAGACGACUUGAAUGGGAACGGGGUACUGUAAGUGGUAGAGUAGCCUUGUUGCUACGAUCCACUGAGGUUAAGCCCUUGUUCUAAAGAUUUGUUCA